rfam:Rattus norvegicus chromosome 17, whole genome shotgun sequence.
ACAAAGGCUCUUUUCAGAGCCCCCACUGUUUCAAAAAAGGAGUUG